ACAGGGAGGGACGGUGAACUGCCUACCUCCAGUCUACAUGGGCAUAGUUCUGGGGGCUGUUGGGCCACACUGCAGAUGCGGAUCAGGCAGUGAAGGGUCAUUCUGCCCCCAGCCUGAAGCUCCUGUAGUGACUGCUCGCUCAGCUCCACAGAGGCCAGACUGCAGCCACACGCAGAGCAGAAGCAGGAUUGCCACAUCCCCCACCCCCAUAUCAAGCUAAUGUGCCGAGUUGCCGUCAACGUAGGAUGGACCUGUUUCACCAUCAGUACUAGUUCCUAGAUUUCCUCUUCCUUUCUGCUCACUUGGUGGUAGCUAAGAGUGACUGGCAAGUUAUUGCCAUGUAAGAACUGUACAUGUGGCCGGGCGCGGUGGCUCACGCCUGUAAUCCCAGCACUUUGGGAGGCAGAGGCGGGUGGAUCACAAGGUCAGGAGAUCGAGACCAUCCUGGCUAACACGGUGAAACCCCGUCUCUACUAAAAAUACAAAAAAUUAGCCGGGCGUGGUGGCGGGCGCCUGUAGUCCCAGCUACUUGGGAGGCUGAGGCAGGAGAAUGGCGUGAAACCGGGAGGCGGAGCUUGCAGUGAGCCGCGAUCGCGACACUGCACUCCAGCCUGGGUGACAGAGAGAGACUCCGUCUCAAAAAAAAAAAAAAAAAAAAAAGAA